rnacentral:lncRNA from 1 species
GGGGACUGCAGGCACAGUGAGGAAGGUAGGGAAGGGUCUCUCCAAGACAGGCCCACCAGGAGCCCCCACUGGGAAUAAUGCAGCCCCUCUCAGGGGAUGGAGUGUCUGGAAUUCCAUGGCUGAGGUGCAACAGGUCCCACAGCCUCUCCAGCCUCUGUGGGAAGAAGGAUCAUCUGAUGCCUAUGUAAUAGAGUUGCUGAAGGAGUGGAAGCAGCUUUGACAUUAUCAGUGGAACCCACCAGUGCAGACUGCUUCACCAAGGGCACCUGAGGCAGCAGAUCUGAGGAUUAGGGACGUAGGGAGCUGAAGCCUGGCUGGAGAGGUGGUGCGCACAAGAACCCCCACAUUCCCCGACAGGAGCCUGAAAAAGCAAGACGCCAUGUUGGGAGGACACGGAAGCAGUUCUAGGGAGAGGAGCACAUGGCAAGAAGCCAAGGCCUCCUGCCCACAGCCGCCUAGUUUCUUUUGCAGAUACCCUGUGAUUGCCAGCAAGUAAACCAGAUGCAAUUGUGGUUUCCGUGAAGCACAGCUGGAAAACUGCUGCCCCCACGGAGGAAGAGGAAGAUGGGAAGAUGGUGGUUACUGCACACCAGGCACCAGCCUCGGGGCUAUGAGCUGUACAAACAUUACCCAUUUUAUCCUCGUGACCAUGUUCUGAGAAGGCUGUCAAUGAUCUCACUUUAUACAUGGGGAAAUUCAUGCAGACAGAGGCUGACUAAAUUGCCAUGGUCACUCAGCUAGUAGGAACUGGAGCUGUAACUUGAACCCGGGUCUUUUGUUUCUGUGGCUCCUGGUAGCACAUGCCGGGCUUGAAGUGAGAUCCGGAGGAUGUUGGAAACAACGUGUUCCCCAUCAUGAAAGUCCUUAUGAUACCUUAUGAUGCAGAGUUGGCAGCCAGGAGCAGGGGCUUCCAGAAGCAUGGCUGACCCUUGUUGGGAUCUCGCUCCUGUGAGCCUUGGAACGUCUAGGGAGAAAGAGCAGCCAAAUUUAGAGCUGCAGGAGCUUUGAGAUGCAGCUCAGGCAUCAUCUCUGGGAAGUCUUUCCUGGAACCACAGCCUGGGCCCUGUACCUGAUUCCCAGCCCCUGUGGCUCUUUUUGCAUUUGCUGCCUCUUUUCACAAUUCUGUCUCCUUAUGUCUUCCACUCUACACGCAAGCCCCUUGAGGGCAGGACCAUGACUCAGUCAUCCUGUACCCUAGCACCCACCCUGGGUCUGCAUCUGGAAGGAGCUCACUAAGUGAUUAUUGAGCCAAACUGAACUGUAGCAGGAGUGAGCAAAGCUAAUUCAUGGGUGCAGAAUGGGAGCACAGAGCUGCCAGAAUCCAGAGACAACUGUAACUGUCCCGGCACAGGGGGCUUCAGGCCGCGGUGAGAGCCACUGAAAGCAAGAGAGCCAGGUGGUGGCUCAGUUCACACUGAGUCCUGCUGAAGAAAUAGGCACAUCGUGUGUGUUAAAAUCAGCACCCCAUGCACCUGUAGGAAGAGACUGAGGCACCCUGGAGGCCCCUCCCAAUAAUUAAAAGGCCCUCUGGGGCCUGUGGGAGCCCUAGCUGAUGAAAUCACAAAGGCCUCAGCCUCUAAAGUGUUUCCAGUAAAAUGCUACCAGGAUUUUCCUCCCUUAAAUCUGGAUGAAAGGGCUGUCUGUGCUACAAAGUGCACACCUGGCGUUGAUACGCAGUCUCUUGCUGCCUGUUAACUAACCCACCAGCCGACAAGUUCUGCCCACUGGCAGGAGCAAGGACUUAUAAAAAAUAGUGCCUCCCUCCCAAGGGCUUAUGAGCUGGUUAAGUGCAGAGGACAAAUAGAAUGAAAGAAAAGGCAAUCUCGGCAUAGUAUUUAGUUAAUUCUUCUCUCUCUCUUGUUCCCUCUCUCUCCUUUCUCUCUUCCUCCCUCCUUUCUAUGACUUGUCCUCUCCACACAACUCCUUUUCCGUUUUCCCUCCCCUGCCUCCCCACCUUCUUUCUUGACUUCCCAUCUUGCUCCCUUUCUUCCUGCCUGCCCAUCUGCUUUCCUUUCUUAUCUCUGGUGCAAAUUCUGCAUAUAGUCGCUCUCCUCAUUUCAUGACAGGCUGUCUUCAUCAGUUUCUGAGUUCUUUUGUUAUUUUAUAAAAUAUUUUACAUGCUGUCCUCAAAAAAUCCCCUCCCCCAGAAAAGGCCCAUUCAAAAGUACUUACUAUACGUCCUUAGAUAGGCAAUGAUCUCUGAAAUAUAUAUAGGCUUGCUCUAUAUGUGUUUUUGUAAGUGUACUUUUCUUUCAUUAAAUAUGCAGAUCUUAAUUGUACAGUUUGAGGUGUUUUGACAAAGGUAUAUACCAGUAAAACCACCACCCCAACCAAGGUACCGAACACUUUCAUCUCUCUGGAAAGUCCCCUUGUGCCACCUUCCAGUCAACUCUCACCCUCCAGAGGCACCCACUGUUCAGAUUUCUACAUGCAUUUUGCCUGUUGCUGAACUGGAACCUCACAGCCUUUUACGUCUGGCUUCUUUCACUUAACAUAAUGUUUUUAAGUCAUCCAUGUAGUUCAUUCUUUUUUUUGUUGCAGAGCAAUAUUCCAUUGUGUGAAUGGAUGUACUUUAUCCAUCAACAGUUGAUGAAGUUGGGUUGGUGGCACUUUUUGGCUAUCGUGGGUAAUGCUGCUCUGGAUGUUUCUGCACAAGUCUUUAUUGUGGACAUGGGUUUCCAUUUCUUCUGGGCAAAUGCCCAGGAACAGAAUUGCUGAUUCAUUAGGAAGUUAUAUGUUUAACUUCAUAAGAAACUGGAAAACCGCACUCCACAGUGUUCAUGCUAUUGCACAUUGCCCCCAGUGCCAUGUGAAUGUUUCAUUCUUGGGGUCUAGAAUAUCUUACUGCAGUUUUAAUUGGAAGUUCUCUGAUGACUUUUGAUAGAGUAUCUUUUCAUGUGCUUAUUGGUUAUUUAUUUCUUCUUUAAAGAAGAGUCUAGAUCCUUUUCCCAUUUAAAAUUGCAUUGCUUCUAUUUUUACUGUUGAUUCUUAGAAGUUCUUUACAUAUUUUAGAUUUAUAUACAGUAAAUAUUUUCUCCCAGUCCAUGGCUUGCCUUUACCUUUUCUUAAUGGUGUCUUUUGAUUAACCAGACAUUUUAAAUUUUCAUGAAGCCUAUUGUAUCGGGGGUUGUUUUUGUUUGUUCAUUUAUGGUUAGUACUCUUUUUGGUGCUAGCCAGGAAAACUUUGCCUACAUUCUCCUAAGCUCAUGAAUAUAUUUUUCUAUAUUUGUUUCUAGGACAUUUAUAAUUCAAACUUUUAUGUUCUAGCCUAUCACUCAUGUAUAGUUAUGUAUAGUAUAAAUAAGGAUUGAAGUUCAUUUUUCUUUCCAUAUACUUAUCCAGUUAUUCCAGCACCAUUUGUUGAAAACACUUUCUUUCCCUCAUUGAAUUUCCUUGAAGCUUGUGCUCAUAACUUAUAUAACGAGUAUUGCGUUACAAUUUCCAUUAUAUUUCUUAAUUUUUCACUUAACACAAUGUUUAUAUGAUCUAUCCGCAAUGCUGUAUUCAGUCAUUUGAAUUCACUCAUUCAUUUUAUCAUUCAAUAAAUCUGCAGUGGUGAAGAAAACAGAA